GACGAACGCUGGCGGCGUGCUUAACACAUGCAAGUCGAACGGAAAGGCCCUGCUUUUGUGGGGUGCUCGAGUGGCGAACGGGUGAGUAACACGUGAGUAACCUGCCCUUGACUUUGGGAUAACUUCAGGAAACUGGGGCUAAUACCGGAUAGGAGCUCCUGCUGCAUGGUGGGGGUUGGAAAGUUUCGGCGGUUGGGGAUGGACUCGCGGCUUAUCAGUUUGUUGGUGGGGUAGUGGCUUACCAAGGCUUUGACGGGUAGCCGGCCUGAGAGGGUGACCGGCCACAUUGGGACUGAGAUACGGCCCAGACUCCUACGGGAGGCAGCAGUGGGGAAUAUUGCACAAUGGGCGGAAGCCUGAUGCAGCAACGCUGCGUGCGGGAUGACGGCCUUCGGGUUGUAAACCGCUUUCGCCUGUGACGAAGCGUGAGUGACGGUAAUGGGUAAAGAAGCACCGGCUAACUACGUG
rnacentral:rRNA from 1 species